rnacentral:rRNA from 1 species
GAUAAACGCUGGCGGCGUGCCUAACACAUGCAAGUCGAACGAAGAGGCCCCUUCGGGGGUACUUCAGUGGCGGACGGGUGAGUAUAACAUAGGUGACCUGCCCCAAAGCAGGGGAUAACAGUCCGAAAGGAUUGCUAAUACCCCAUGUGGUCCUUGAGGUUAGAUGCUCGAUGACUAAAGGAGUGCCCAACUUUGUUGGACAUCCGCUUUGGGAGGGGCCUGUGGCCCAUCAGCUAGUUGGCAGGGUAAUGGCCUACCAAGGCAACGACGGGUAGGGGGCCUGAGAGGGUGAUCCCCCACAUUGGCACUGACACACGGGCCAAACUCCUACGGGUGGCAG